GCACCGGCCAACUACGUGCCAGCAGCCGCGGUAAUACGUAGGGUGCGAGCGUUGUCCGGAAUUAUUGGGCGUAAAGAGCUCGUAGGCGGUCUGUCGCGUCGGUCGUGAAAACUUGGGGCUUAACCCUGAGCUUGCGGUCGAUACGGGCAUGACUGGAGUUCGGCAGGGGAGACUGGAAUUCCUGGUGUAGCGGUGAAAUGCGCAGAUAUCAGGAGGAACACCGGUGGCGAAGGCGGGUCUCUGGGCCGAUACUGACGCUGAGGAGCGAAAGCGUGGGGAGCGAACAGGAUUAGAUACCCUGGUAGUCCACGCCGUAAACGGUGGGCGCUAGGUGUGGGGGCCAUUCCACGGUCUCUGUGCCGCAGCUAACGCAUUAAGCGCCCCGCCUGGGGA
rnacentral:rRNA from 1 species